rnacentral:lncRNA from 1 species
CCAAAAAUUUAUUGAAUCAAAUAUGUGAAUGUUAUGAGUUUAAUUCAUUGUUGGGAUGUGAAGUUGUAAACUAACAAUUUGUUUCUAAAUUCAGAGAGAACUGAUAUCUUGGGGAAAAUAAAAAUAAAAACUCCCAAGUGAAAGAUCAGAAUAGUGAAAUCAAACAAUAUAGAUAUAUAUAUAAACUAGUUGUGAGAGCAUUAAUUUAAUUACACAGAUUUGCUGUUGCUGAGUCUCUUUUUUGUUUCCUCAGCUGCAUCGGCAGCUUCAACUUGCAUUUUGCUUCUGCGAAGCUCUGCUUCCGUUGCUUCUUGCUCGUUUCUUGCCGUCAACUUCUUAGCCUGACCAACGAAGAAGGCCUUAAGAUUGCGAAAACCCUCUUGCAAAGAAACAUAGAAAAACAAGCAAUCUUUCUUCAUGCGAGACAUCAUGCCCGUGUUUGAUGAGGUUGACGAUGAAGAUGCUUUCAUCCCUUCCAUUUCCUUUGCUUUCAGAUAUAUCAGAAUUGGAUUUGAC